GGAUUAGAUACCCUGGUAGUCCACACCGUAAACGAUGAAUGCUAGACGUCCGACUUGUUUAUCGGUUGGGUGUCGCAGCUAACGCAUUAAGCAUUCCGCCUGGGGAGUACGGUCGCAAGAUUAAAACUCAAAGGAAUUGACGGGGGCCCGCACAAGCGGUGGAGUAUGUGGUUUAAUUCGACGCAACGCGCAGAACCUUACCCAGUCUUAACAUCCCGAGAAGCAGACAGAGAUGUCAGCGUGCUGCCGCAAGGUAGAACUCGGUGAUAGGUGCUGCAUGGCUGUCGUCAGCUCGUGUUG
rnacentral:rRNA from 1 species